ACUGGUCCAAGGGUGGGAAAGAGAAGUAUAGUACUCUCUGCUAAAGAACACUAGGAGUGGUUCAUUCCAGCCCUGUCCCAGAAGAAAUCUGAUUCCAACCACUGCCCAAAUCCCAACUCAGAAAUUGUUCUCUGCGUCUCAUUCUCCCGCGCCACUCCGGCCUACCACCCCCAGAAGGCGUCGCGGCGCAGCCAUGUGACCUGCGCAGUAACGUUCGUUGGAAAGUGCCAUGACAACGAGGCGAAGGUGGCACGGAGUUAUGCUGGAAUGGGGAGUGUCGCUUCAGAGCCCGUGCUGUUCGUUUUCAACGACAUCUCAGUCACCGCCUCCAGUAUCAUUUCCUCUUUUUGAGCAGCGGGGCUUGCCUUCGCUCCCGCCUGCCUGGUCUCUUUCAAGGAUGAAUGCCGUUUCCCUGCUUUUUCUCGAGGGUAACAGAAAGGCGGCGCAGGGGAGCUUCUUGGGAGGGUCACCCCAGCUCUGUGGAGCUGGUGGUGCUCUCUUUGCCCUUGACCUGGAGUAAAUGCGAGUAGGACAAGAGGGAUUAGUGAAGCUAUGGGUUGCUUUUCUCUGCACUCUCAUUCUUACUCCUGCUCCAGCCCUGGGACCCUCGGCAAGCCUUCUUAAAGAGGAAUCUGCGGAAAGAGGGUAUGCAGAAAGAUGAGCAGGUCCCAUGUGACCCACCAUCAAGUAAGAAAGAAUGUCUGGAAUUGAACUUCGGAAGCAUGUAUCCCCUUUUCAUGUUUUGUGGCUUAGAAAAUGAACUCCUCUUCAGAAAACAACGCACAUUUUGAGAGCAACAACGUCAGACCUUUUCUUUAUGGGCAGCCCACAGCCCAGUGGCCUUACCCGGGUCCGUGGUACCUGAGCCCUGUCCAUAAUCCUUUCUGUGUUUCUGGGGCAGGAAACAAAUUUGAUGCACGUCAGCUACAAAGAAGAGUUUAACACUGCAUGUGACCUGAUGCGAAAGAACAUGUGAUCUUUUUCUCUGUUGGGCCUAAUAAAACUCUUGUCUUCUGACUAUUAACAUAAUGUGGCAAAUAAAGUCUUUUGAAUUUUAUAAGUUGUAAAGUUGUUAACAAAUGGAAUUGCAUAU